CGGACGGGUGAGUAACACGUGGAUAACCUACCUAUAAGACUGGGAUAACUUCGGGAAACCGGAGCUAAUACCGGAUAAUAUAUUGAACCGCAUGGUUCAAUGGUGAAAGACGGUUUUGCUGUCACUUAUAGAUGGAUCCGCGCCGCAUUAGCUAGUUGGUAAGGUAACGGCUUACCAAGGCAACGAUGCGUAGCCGACCUGAGAGGGUGAUCGGCCACACUGGAACUGAGACACGGUACAGACUCCUACGGGAGGCAGCAGCU
rnacentral:rRNA from 1 species